ensembl:snoRNA SNORD115 Small nucleolar RNA SNORD115
GGGUCAAUGAUGACACCCAUAAUGUCACGAAGAGAGGUGAUGACAUAAAAAAUCAUGCUCAAUAGGAUUAUGCUGAGGCUC